rnacentral:rRNA from 1 species
AGCGAACGCUGGCGGCAGGCCUAACACAUGCAAGUCGAACGAACCUUUCGGGGUUAGUGGCGGACGGGUGAGUACCACGUGGGAACGUGCCUUUAGGUUCGGAAUAACUCAGGUAAACUUGUGCUAAUACCGAAUGUGCCCUUCGGGGGAAAGAUUAAUCGCCUUUAGAGCGGCCCGCGUCUGAUUAGCUAGUUGGUUGAGGUAAUGGCUCACCAAGGCGACGAUCAGUAGCUGUUCUGAGAGGAUGAUCAGCCACAUUGGGAAUGAGACACGGCCCAAACUCGUACGGGAGGCAGCAGUGGGGAAUCUUGCGCAAUGGGCGAAAGCCUGACGCAGCCAUGCCGCGUGAAUGAUGAAGGUCUUAGGAUUGUAAAAUUCUUUCACCGGGGACGAUAAUGACGGUACCCGGAGAAGAAGCCCCGGCUAACUUCGUG